UACCACAAUGUUCCUGCCCCUUGCUGC
rnacentral:piRNA from 1 species